CUAGUCCCCUUCAAAGCCAGGAAGGCAAGGGCGCCCUCUCAUGGUGACAAGCAGCAUGACGAAGAGAGCACGCGGUGGUGACAGGCGCUCAAGACGCCCAAUGCCAACAGACCUGCUGGUCUUCCCCAAAUUACAGAAGCCCACACCUUCACCAGAGGCCUCAAAGCAGCAAAUGCCAGGUAUUACAGAGAACACAACAUCUCCUGAUGGGCCUGGCAUAGACACAAAUCUUAUAAAUUGGUUGCAACUACAAGGAGUGGAUGCAAAUACAAACAAAAAGCCCUCAUGUGAAUUUUCAGAGGGGACGAAGCAGAGGCAGGCCCAGGCAAGGGCAGAGAAGGGCAGAGGUGACCGGCCUUGCCUACCUACUCUCCACGGACCAAACAACUGCUCAGUGUGCUUCCAGGAGAACUCUCCAUAGCUAAGGCUCACAGUUAAGACUUUGGACUAUGAAGAUGUUGGAAACAGUGUUGGGAUUGAUUAGAAGCUAUGAAACUUAGGCUGGAGAGAUGGCUUAGUGUUUAAGACACUUUCCUGCAGAGCCUGAGGACCCAGGUUCAAUU